UACGAAGGGGGCUAGCGUUGUUCGGAAUUAUUGGGCGUAAAGAGCGCGCAGGCGGUAUGACAAGUCAGAUGUGAAAGAGGCCGGCUUAACCGGCAAGGGUCAUUUGAAACUGUCAGACUAGAGUGCAGCAGAGGAUAGUGGAAUUCCCGGUGUAGUGGUGAAAUGGCGUCGAGAUAAUCGGGGCGAGGAACACCGGUGGCGAAAGCGGCGCGCUGGACCUCUUCUGACGGCUGAGG
rnacentral:rRNA from 1 species